rnacentral:rRNA from 1 species
GCCUACGGGCGGCUGCAGUGGGGAAUAUUGGACAAUGGGCGAAAGCCUGAUCCAGCAAUGCCGCGUGAGUGAUGAAGGCCUUAGGGUUGUAAAGCUCUUUUACCCGGGAUGAUAAUGACAGUACCGGGAGAAUAAGCUCCGGCUAACUCCGUGCCAGCAGCCGCGGUAAUACGGAGGGAGCUAGCGUUGUUCGGAAUUACUGGGCGUAAAGCGCACGUAGGCGGCUUUGUAAGUUAGAGGUGAAAGCCUGGAGCUCAACUCCAGAAUUGCCUUUAAGACUGCAUCGCUUGAAUCCGGGAGAGGUGAGUGGAAUUCCGAGUGUAGAGGUGAAAUUCGUAGAUAUUCGGAAGAACACCAGUGGCGAAGGCGGCUCACUGGACCGGUAUUGACGCUGAGGUGCGAAAGCGUGGGGAGCAAACAGGAUUAGAUACCCCUGUAGUCGG